GUGUUUAAAGAGAAAAUUAAUCCGGACCGUUUAUCGCGAUUUGAUCUUGAUCAUAUGAUCGAAUUUAAAGAGAUAAUGAAUCUGAACUGUUCAUCACAUUUAAUAGUGACCGUUCGAUCGCACCUGAUAAGGGAAUGGAUCUAGACCGUCCACGCACGCAGGAACGCUUUCGGACCAUCCGAUUGCGGGCAUGCGGAUUGCUAGCAUGGCCUCCCAUGUGGUACCCAGUCAGCAUGCCUUGCCACACGGUGCACUUUGGUUUGUCGGGGCUACUGACUGGGCAGUCCUACGUGGUGUAAUUUUUCUUAAUUGCAUUCUAACUCCCAGUUUUUUAUUUUCUAUUUUCAAAAACAACAUCCAAACCAAAAUUUUCACCCCUUUUUCUCAAAAUUAUUUUCAAUUUCGUCCUCAACUAUUUUUUCCAUAA
rnacentral:lncRNA from 1 species